GCCCGGCUAGCUCAAUCGGUAGAGCGUGAGACUCUUACCACUCCCAGCAGUGAUAUCUCAAGGCUGCGGGUUCGACCCCCGCGUUGGGCU